GAGAUGGAAGAGACGUAGGUCAAAGGAAAAAGUGCAAACCCACAAGGAAAGUCAUUUAGUGUGUGCCACGCUAAGGAGCAUGCAAACUGACUACAGGCAGAGACUGAACUAGGAUUAAAGAGGAAAGUUUGGAUAGUAAAGUUCUGGAUAGAGGGACUAACGUACUUUACAGUCUGUGUCGGGGAGGGAUGAUGAAAGGGAGCAACCUGGAGAUAAGGAGACAGGUUAGGGUGUUGUGGCAGUGCUAUGAAUGUGAUCUAACUGAAGAGCUGAACUAACUCUGGGGCAGUGUCGUUUCUACAGAAAAGGAUGCGUUUGAGAGAUAGUGAGGGCAUGGAAACCUUAGAACUUGUAGAAUUAUCUGAACAAUGAUGACUCCCACGUUUCUGGCGUGAGCUCUCUAUCUCUGACAGUUUCAAUCAGAACAUGCUUUCCAUUCAUCAUGGUCAGAACUAAGUGGAAACCACAUGCACCUAUAAUUGUUCAAUUCAGAAUUGCUACAGAGAAGACUGCUCUCCCAUCAAGUAGUCAGGAUAGGCACUAGCAAUCAUACCUGACGUUCAGAAAGCUCAGUUUUGAGUCUGUUGUACAAGUGAAUGCUUUAGGAGUGGAUUAGCUCAUUCAAAGAAGCAUUGUACAGCAGAUUUUGAAGAAGCCUGACACAGACCCCAGGGGAACAACAUUUGGGUGAUAAGUGAAGGAAGGAGAGCUGAGUUAUAGCCAGAAUAGUAGGAGAAAAAUCAGAAGUAGUGGCAUGGAAGGCCUGUGAUGGUUUGCUGGCAGUAUUAGGCAUCUCUUGUGGAUAGCAUUCUCCCUGUGUCUUUCCAUUAUCUUCCCUCUCUCCGGUCUUUCUUCACCUGAUGUUCUUUUUAUCAGGACAACAGUUCUAUUAGAGUAGGGGUCCACCUUUAUCCAGUAUGACUUCAUCUUAGUAAAUUCCAUCUGGAACACCCUAUUUUCUCAGUACUUUAUAUUCUGAGAUACUGGGGGAGAGGUUAGGAUUUCAACACAUAGAUUGGGAGGAGGGCACAAUUCUAGGUACAACACAUAGUUUGAAGCCUAAGGCUCAGGGUCUUUGAAGAUAUUUGAAGGGGUUUCAUAUUUUUUCUGUGGGAAAGAUUUUGAACAGAUUAGUUAUAUAGUUGACGAAAAGUUAGUUUGAUGUCAUCUAGUGUUUUAUCAGUCAGAUUUAUAUUGAAAGUUAAUUUACACUCAAAAGUAGUUUUGGGGUGGGGGAAAACAUGAGAGAACUUGCAUAUGGGAAGCCUACAGAAUCAACUUAUAUUCUCACUGGACUAAGGCUACUCUAGGGGUGUAGAUGAACAACAUCACUCUACAGAACUGUCAUGAUACACCAUCCCAAAUGAAUUAGAUACAACUCUCCUUGGUCUUUGUACUAAGUCUGCUGAGUAUUUUUAUUCUAAGAGGAAGCAUGCAAUGAGCUAUGUUAGGUCAAGGAUGUGCUUUUGGGGUUUGGAGGUCACUUUGACCUCCAGCAACAAAAGGGGUGGUGGUAAUCAUCUUAAAGAAAAUUGGAGUAAUGAUACUAAAUGGAUAAAUGUUCACAAAAAAAUGUGUUAAGGAGAAGCCAGUGAAAAGUCAACUUCAAAAGUGCUAUAUUAAGUGGCAAGAGACUGAACUAGGAUUAAAGAGGAAAGUUUGGAUAGUAAACUGCUUGAUGAUGAGGAGGGUAGGAACAUGAAAAAUUGAAGGAUGCUAAUCAAAGUAAGGUGAUCAAGAGGAAAAGAUCAUUUUAUAGCAAGGUGGAGAAACAUUUGUUGAUUUUAGCUGUCUACCACUUGAACAUUCUUCAUAUUUUAGAAGAAUUACCCAAAUAGCAAGCAGGGUCCUACUGUGACUAUCCAUUUUAUGUGUCAACUCGACUGGGUUGAAGGGUGCCUAGGUAUUUGGUUGAACACUAUUUCUGGGUUUUUCACUGAAAGUGUUUCUGGAUGACAUUAACAUUUCAUUCAGUGAACUGAGGAAUUAGAUUACCCUCACCAGUGUGGAUGGGCAUUGUCAAUCUGUUGGGGGUCUGAAGGGAAUAAAAGUCAGAGGAAGGGAGAAUCUAAUUUCUGUACUUCCUUGACUGCAUGAGCUGGGGCAUUGCCUUUCUUAUUUUUGUACUGUGGCUUAUACCUUUAAACAUCCUCAAUGCCAUACCUUUAAACUCAGACUGAAACUACAUUACUGGAUUUUCUGGGUCUCCAGCUUGUAAAUAGCAGAUGUGAAAUUUCCCAGUCUGCAAAAUGUGUAUGUAUGUGUGUGUGUGUGUGUGUGUGUGUGUGUGUGUGUGUGUGUGCAAACAUGCAUGCACUUGUGUGUGAUAUCUCCCAUUUGUUCUGUUUCUCUGGAGAAUUUUGACUCACACCCUGGAAGCUGAAAGUGAGUGUUCAAAAGCACACGAUCUUUCUACACGCAGUAGCUAACCCAUAAGUAAGUAACCUAAACUGGGCACAUCAGAUGCUCUCAGGUGGAAUUUUGGUUCUUGAGACAGUGAUAGAAAGAGUCAGUGGAUGGUCAGAGAUUAUUGUUUGUGGUAGAGUUGAGAACUCAGCAGCGUAAAAGUAAGUGUUGGCUGUGGAGGGUGUAAAGCAGUAUCCACAGCAGCCUGAGUCUGUGGUGGAGUUGUAGAUGUGUCCAAAUCCCCUUAGUUUCUGCCUGUUCUCUGGAGCCUGAGAGCUUGAGAACUGGCCCACGGAGCCUUAUAAUCAAUUCAUUUUCUGCGUAAGUUGAAGGUUUGUUGUUUUGUUGUUUGGAAAGAUGGAUGAUGAUGUACAGAGUGUAUAGUGGGGUCACCAUCGACUGGCGUUUUUGUCAUGAUGAGUGAAAGCAAAUAGCAUGACAGUCACAGAAAAAUGUCCAGAGUCAGAUGGAUAAGUGCAAGGAGUUCAUAAAAGGGGUCAUGAGUGAAGGUAGAUUUGGUUGUUAUCCACCUAGAUGUGAUCAAGGCAGUUAUGACAGUGGAUGAAUUCCUAGGGGAAGAGAGUAGGAAGAGAGGAAAAAAUGGCAAGGGCUAAUCUUUGGUUAGCCUGCAGGAAGAGACUAGAAGAAAGAAGUGAACAGUUACCACCACUAUCACCACCACAAAACACACACACACACACACACACACACACACACGCACAUACACACAUGCACACAUGCACACACACUUGAACCAGGGCAUUUACAAAUAUGGGCAAGAAAAUGAAAUAGUUCAAGAUAUAGAUGUUAAGAAUGGAGAGAAGUUCAAGGAGAAGCUGAAGGGUCAAAUGAGUCAUGAAGGGUUCAAUGAGAAUGAGAACUAAGUAAUUUAUUAAAUUUGUCACUGGUUACUGACUUAUUAUGUUUUCUGUUGCUGCAACUGAGCCUGGGUAGUCUAUACAGGAAAGAAGUUAAUUUUGCCCAUGUGCUGGGCAUGGCAUCAAACACAUUCUCAUCAGCUUCCCAAUUACCCAUCAACUGGCUUCUGAGAUUAUGCUUGUUUUAUAAAGAGACAACCGAGGCUUAGACAGGCUAAUUUGUCUAACAUUUGAAUUUGUACUUUUAUAUCUAUGAUUCUAGGAGACCACGAUCUUUCAGAAUUGAUUGAUACUCUGUUUGAUGUUUUUAAAAUAAUUCUUGCACAAAGCAGAACCAGAAGUCUGGAUUACCCAUCCACUUGAAAACUAAAAAUGUUUAGGUCUGUUUUGAGGAACUGGAGCUAACCAAACUUUAGAUAAGUUAAGAAACACAAUCCGAUAUAUAUAAAUGUGAGUAAGAUAGUUGUCAACACUUUUGAAAGAAUGGGACACAUUAUAUUAUUAACAUUUGCUUUCCAAAAGCUUUCAAAAAUAUAAAACUCAGACUCUUGAAUUCAAAAUGCUUUGGGAUUCUUAGCCCUUUCCGUGAUUGUAAAACUAGGUCACUGAGUAACGUUCAAGAUUUUUUUUUUUUUUGUUCUUAAGCUUUAAGAAAUUAUGUUGACAUUGGGAUAAAGAGUUGUAUUUAUAUCUUGAAAAUCUGAUAAAGAUGGUAAAUUGCUGUUUACUCAGUCUGAGGAAAAUAGACUGUUAGAGAACUCUGAGCUGACUUUCUUCAACAGUUGAGCUUGUUAAUACUUCUAUAAUGUCAGGAAAGUGAGAAAAAUUUAAAGGGUUUAAAGUCUCUCCUGUCCCCUCUAACACCUCUCUCUGAUGGGAAUUAUUAAGACCCCUGGAGAAGUCGGAGAGCCUUGGGACUAGUCCAGAUUCUAGAGAAUUCAAACAAAAUAUUCCUGAACCUGUAGAGCAAAGUGAAUUUUCUUUGGCUUAAUUUAUUGCACCCGUUGACAUUUCUCAGAAUUUGAUCCACCAAACAGUAUUCUUUGGACUAUUUAAAGAUACUCCUUGAAAACCAGUGCUCUGUUUAAAUACUUGUAGGUUACUGGGUGAAGAAAAACUGAGAAAAAAAGUUUUAAGGUGUAGUUCUCAGCGAAUAGUAUUGAAUAUGCACAGAAUUUUUUGAUCAAUAGACAUUUAUUAAGCAGCUUCAGUGGGCCAGACACUACAGUAGGCCUUAGAGAAGCAUCUUUCCUAACCUCAGGGGAGUAAGAGCUGGUGAAAAUCUCCUGUAAAUUGCAAGCAGAUGGAUGGUAAGGUAUGAAGAGAUUCUCAUUUUUUUGGUCUUGUUUUUCAGCAAACUGUCACCAAUUUUAUUCCCUCCUCUAGCUUUACUGAGGUAAAACUGACUAAAAUUAUAUAAAUGUGAUAUGUACAACAUGACAUUUUGAUAUACUAAUACAUUGUAAAAUGAUUAUCAUGCUGCAUUUAGACCACAAGAAUCUUCCUCUCAUCCUCUCUCUUUCUCUCUCUCUUCCCUGUAUUUCCUUUUCUCCUUCCUUCUCCCCUUGCCUUCCCCCUCCCUUCUUUUUCUCUUUUGUUGGUGGAGCAUCUCCAAGGUAAGGGCUGCAGAGGAAAGUACUUUGGAUAAAUGUAAGACUACACUGAUUAAUUGAUUCCCUGGAUAAUAGAUUUUUUCAGUGUUUUCUCUAAGAAGUCCAGAUGUUAGAAAGCAAGGCCAGGAUGAGCAAGCAAUGAAGUUGACCCAGCUGAUUACUGUAUACAUCAAUGUUUGUAUACAACAAUGUUUUCCAAACACAUUGGCCAAGGUGAGAUCAGUCCUGGGGAACACAGGGCCAAGAUGAGAAACAGAACACUUCAAAGUGGGGAAGGUUUUAAAGGUACUUAGAAGUUUUCAAAGUACCAGUAAUCCAACUUGAAUUCUAAACAGAGGGAUUCUCUGGGCACAGACUCUUCUUUCCUGUCUGAGAUGGAGGGAGGUGCCACCAAGAGACACUUUGUGCUGAUACAGUUAAAAGGCUCCAUUUAACUUCUCUCUGUGGAAAAGAACCAAAGAACUAGGAGGCAGAGUUUUGAGAUGGGAGCAAUGAGGUGGGAGAAUAACAUGAGCCAGCCACAAAAGUUGGAUUUUGGCAAUAAUUUCCAGCCAAGUGUACGCAUAACUUAACUUACAUAUCAGGGAAGGACCUGUUGCCCAUAGACCUUCAACACUAUUUUACAAAACAAGUGACUAUUUUAUGGUCACUUGGCAUCAGAAAAGGACAGGCUUUGAAUUUAGACAGACCUGAAUCUGAAACCAAACUCCUUUGCUUUCUGUUGGGUGCCUGUGGUUUGUAAUUGUUGUGUUCUCAACUAUUGCAGAGGAUGAAAGCAAUUGGGAGUUUGUCCUCAAAGAGUGGAUUUGAAUGGGACAUAUGGCAUGCGUUUUUAUCCCUGAUCCAAUGAAGAAAGUUUCAGCCUGCUUUCACAUCUGUUUUCUCAUUUGUUCCUUGUAACACUAAAUUCUGCUAAGAAAGGUCCUCACACUUUCUUUUGACAGAUGAAGAAACUGAAGCUCAAGGUCAGUGGACCAACUUCUGCAAAUGAAGCAGAAUUGGAAAUAAAAAGCAAAGUUUGUUUUAAUUCCUGUGUUCUUAAUUACAGAAUGUUAUUUGGGUCCGAGAGUCUUAAAAAAGCUACACAUUUAUUGCAAGAGAACAGUGAAUCCAAAUAAUUUUGCACCAGAAAUGAGCUAUAGGCUGAAGAGACACAUUCUCCCACAUACAUUUCCUAUUAUUUCUUUAUGCAGUUAAGAUGCUAUUGUGACAAAUAUUAAUGUAAUUUCAUUAAUGUGUAAUCAAUUCACAGAUUUUUGUUGUGUAUUUUAUUCAACCAUCAUAUGGAGUGUCUUACCAUUAUUAUUUUUAAUGUGGAAAAUGAAUCCUUGCUGCUGCUCUUCUAGAAAGAAAAUUAUCAAUGGUUUAAAAUAAAAUUCAAGUCAAUUGACUGAAAAUAACAUUGCAGAAAAAGCUGCAGUAUUGAAAAGAACUAAUACAAUAUUACCCCCCAAAACCCCCCAAAACCACACACACACAUACACACACACACACACACACACAACAGCAACAACUUCUUACUGGUCACUACUUUGCAAGCCUGUGACUUCUUUGUAGUCUAAAAUAUUAUUGUAGUCUAUACCCAAAAGUCUGGAAUUCUCAUAUUGAUACACAUGACCAAAUUUUCCUUCAUCCAAGUUUUUGAUGAGAUAGGACAUAGAAGUCCUGUUUCUAUCUUUAUUUUUGCAGUUGCUUUAAAAAUAUUAUGAAAUAUUAUAAUACUUAAUAUUAGGUGAUCUGGAAAAAAAUCUAAUUUUCCAUUAGAAUGAACUAAAAACUAGUUCUGUUGCUAUUGCAUGAAAUGAUAAAAUCUUUCUAUUUAACUUCUCCAUUAAAAGAAGCAACUUUUGAAUUAGAUUAAAAAAUAUCUGUCUUGGGUCAGAAGAAAACAAUGGCAGACUACAAAGGAGAUCACACGAGAGAAAUGUGAAAUAAGAAAGGGAAUCAUGUCAGUCCCUUUUGUGUCCCUCUCUCCCAGUCCCAUAUCACUAGGAAACUUUACACAGUACUUUUAAGAAUUCUGCUGGUAAAUACUGGACAGACUGCCCAUAGCAAACUGGGAAUCAUUUUCUUCCUACUUAAAUAACAGAGGCAAAUAGGAGUGGGUUUAGUAAUGUGUGCUUUAGAAUAAAGAGUCUUAGGACUCUUUUGCUAUUCCCUCACACUUUUGGACUCUUUGUAGUAGUAAAACAGAUUACAAGUUUAAUUGCUUUCUUCUUUUUUUUUUUUUCCAAACUGGGGAUUGAACCCAACCAUAUUUUUGAGGCUUUUAGAUAGGUUAAGUUGCUUUUUAUUUAUGCGAAAUUACAUAUUAUUUUAAAAUGUGUGCUCUACCUGAGGACAAAUAACAUAGAAUCAAUUCUCGUUAUUUGUGGUAGUUAAGUUUUUAUAAAAUCACUUAAGCACAGAGGUGAAAAAUAGUGAACUUCUGUUUCCCAGGAAACACUAGGUUUGUUCCUGUGAACCUCUGGUCACAUUUUCAAUAACUGAUCAAUAUGUAACCUUGUUUUAUGAGUGCUUCUGUUUAAAGAUGGCUUAUGCAAUAGAUAUUGUUGAUUCAUUAACAUUGAAUUCAGAACCAAGAGUACUAUAACUCAGGUCUGAAUGAAGCUUCUCUAACACAGGUAGCCUCUCUACAUGGCACAUCAAUCAGCCUUCCUGCAUUUAGGAACCCUGGAUCAUACUUAGUGCUAUGUGAGGAGAAAGAACAAACAUGAGAAAGCCAUAGCACUAAACAGACCAUGGAAAAAAAUGCUUGUUUAUAGUACAAUAGCUGAAAUAAGAGGGUCAAGUAUCCCCACUGGGAACAUGUGACAAACUUUUCACUGAUCUGUACUUUCCUUCAAAUGACAACAACAAUUGUGUAUCAAUUUGUGGUUACAAAUUAAUUUUAGUGAGUCAGAGAAUUUUCAAAUCUGGAACCCAUGAACAACAAGGCCUGACUGUAUCUCGUUCACUUUGUGCCACUUGGGACUGUACUGUUUCUUGGCAUAGUAAGAGCACAAUACAUACAUGUUGAAUAGAUAGAAAUAGUGACCCAUAAUUUUGAAAUUAACAUCAUUGUAUUUGCUAUUCUGUUUUGUGCUCUUAAGAAUUUUGUGAUUUUCUAUAAAUAGAAUAUGAACGUUGUAAACAUUUUAGAAAAACACAAGAACUUGUUUGGUUAGGCUCACAGUCAUUUCCCUUGAAAUGUUGCUUGCUCACUUCUGUCAUCCAAAACUGAUUUAAAAAUCUGCUUCCAACAUAAAUUUCAGUCCUUUGUAGUGUUAAUCCCCCUUUCUUUGGCAACAUUUAAGAUAUUUUUUUUCUUUUUGGAAUUUUGAAAAUUCACUAUAUUAACUUAGUCUCUGACUUAGAACAUUUGUAUAUUUCUGUAAUUCUGGAAAAUAUCCUUCUAUUUCAUUGUCUAUAUCUUCUGCAUUCUCCCACUGUUAUUUAUGGAAUUUAUAUUAAAUAUGUUCUAAACUUCUGAACCUA